rnacentral:tRNA from 1 species
GCCGACUUAGCUCAGCGGUAGAGCAUCCGCUUCACACGCGGGAGGUCACAAGUUCAAAUCUUGUAGUCGGCACCA